rnacentral:misc_RNA from 1 species
UUUCCGUAGGUGAACCUGCGGAAGGAUCAUUACAGUGUUCCCUGCCCUUCGGGGUAGGAUCGCCACCCUUGAUUAUUUAUGAGUGUUGCUUUGGCGGGCCUCGCGGCCUGGCCGCGCCCCGGCUUCGGCGGGGGAGCGCCCGCCAGAGGAUUCUACAAACCUGAUUAUUAGUGCCGUCUGAGUACUAUAUAAUAGUUAAAACUUUCAACAACGGAUCUCUUGGUUCUGGCGUCGAUGAAGAACGCAGC